AACGCACAUUGCGCCCUCUGGUAUUCCGGAGGGCAUGCCUGUUCGAGCGUCAUUUAAAGACCAUCAAGCUCUGCUUGGUAUUGGGCAUUCGUCCCUGCAGUGGACUUGCCCUAAAGACCUUGGCGGUGGCCCCGAGCCUCAAGCGUAGUAGAUCAUCUUCCCGCUUACAGAGGACUCUCGGCUGCCCGCUUCUAGAAACCCCACAUCUCAAGAUUGACCUCGGAUCAGGUAGGGAUACCCGCUGAACUUAA
rnacentral:misc_RNA from 1 species